rnacentral:rRNA from 1 species
AGUGAACGCUGGCGGUAGGCCUAACACAUGCAAGUCGAACGGCAGCACAGGAGAGCUUGCUCUCUGGGUGGCGAGUGGCGGACGGGUGAGGAAUACAUCGGAAUCUGCCCAGUCGUGGGGGAUAACGUAGGGAAACUUACGCUAAUACCGCAUACGACCUUCGGGUGAAAGAGGGGGAUCGCAAGACCUCUCGCGAUUGGAUGAGCCGAUGUCGGAUUAGCUAGUUGGCGGGGUAAUGGCCCACCAAGGCGACGAUCCGUAGCUGGUCUGAGAGGAUGAUCAGCCACACUGGAACAGAGACACGGUCCAGACUCCUACGGGAGGCAGCAGUGGGGAAUAUUGGACAAAGGGCGCAAGCCUGAUCCAGCCAUACCGCGUGGGUGAAGAAGGCCUUCGGGUUGUAAAGCACUUUUGUUGGGAAAGAAAUCGUUCAGGCUAAUACCCUGGGAGGAUGACGGUACCCAAAGAAUAAGCACCGGCUAACUUCGUG